rnacentral:pre_miRNA from 1 species
UUUCUACUCCCUCCGUCCGGAAAUACUUGUCAUUGAAAUGGAUGUAUCUAGAUGUAUUUUAGUUGUAGAUACAUCCAUUUUCAUCCAUUUUGAUGACAAGUAUUUCCGGACGGAGGGAGUAUUAU